rnacentral:rRNA from 1 species
UACGUAGGGGGCGAGCGUUGUCCGGAAUCAUUGGGCGUAAAGCGCGUGUAGGCGGCCCGGUAAGUCCGCUGUGAAAGUCCAGGGCUCAACCCUGGGAUGCCGGUGGAUACUGUCGGGCUCGAGUCCGGAAGAGGCGAGUGGAAUUCCUGGUGUAGCGGUGAAAUGCGCAGAUAUCAGGAGGAGCACCAAUGGCGAAGGCAGCUCGCUGGGACGUGACUGACGCUGAGACGCGAAAGCGUGGGGAGCAAACAGG